CUUCAAAUGAAUGACCAAGAAAAAAAUCACCCACGCACUUAUUUAACAUUUACACAUGAAAGACCGAAGACAAAGAACCCAAACUAGAAGUCAUUCCAAUACAUAAGUGUAAGACCCCGCAAAAUUUCUAAGCUUAAUUCAGUCCUUUAAGAUUGUCAAGGGGGUCCCAGACUUAGAAAAUUCUAGCUAAGUUUCCAGACU
rnacentral:lncRNA from 1 species